UUUUGUUUUUAUAUGGCAAGUAUAUUAUGGUUUUAAAUGUUUCUCUUUCUUUUUCUUCUCCAACAGGUGACACAAACGACGGAAAUCUGAAAUUAUGCAAACGGAAGGAAAUUUCUAGGACAACGGACUUGGACGACAAACUUAAGGACAAAAUGGUGGAAUUCUCGUGAAAAUCUGCAAGAAAAUUAAUGAUUGCACCAAUUGAAAUAUGGAGGAAUGCUACUAAUGAGGAUAAUUUGGACUGGGGGAAAAAAACUAGCCGGGAAAUGGAUGGACUGGAUGAAAACAAACUUUCUCUAGGAGGCUGAUUAACAAAUGAGGACGGAGAACUAUCAGCGGAAAAACAACAAUCAUAUUCACAAGUAGAACACUAAGAG